CGAGCUGAAUCUGAGCUGCCUUCCAAUAUCCACUGGAUGAAUCCUGGGAUUUUGCGGAAGGAUCAUCGAAGGUAUGAUUCCGAAUCGCAUAAUCUAUCUGGUCAUGUUGAAAUUGAGGAUCAAUCGAAUGUGAAUCAAGAUUUUUCUGUUUGCGAAAAUGAUUCCCCGUUUGAAUUCGUCGAUUUGAGGAGCAUGAAAAUCAAACAUACUACUGUGAUGUUUCGUUGGAUUUCCGGGAGAAAUCAAACUUUCAAUCCCUGGUGAAAGGGAAUUAGACUUACACCUAGUCCCUAAAUAAUUUUGGUGGCUGAAUUGCCCAACACAAAUAAUUGGACUAACUAGUUUGCUCUAGUGUAUAAGUUAUACAGGUGCCAAAGGUUCACAACAAGCCAAUUAAAAAGACCAAUGUUGGGUUCAAAAUAGAGAGCGAAAGGCAUCCCGAAAGGCUCCCUGGUCUGGCGCACCGGACUGUCCGGUGUGCCACCGGACAGUGUCCGGUGCACCAGGGGACUUCGCGCUGAACUACUCAGCCUCGGGAAUUUUCAGAGCCGACGCGCUAUAAUUCACCGGACUGUCCGGUGUACACCGGACAGUGUCCGGUGCUCCAAGAGGACGCGGCUCUGGAACUUGGCAGCCUCGAGAAUUCACAACGGCUGCUCCGCUAUAAUUCACCGGACAUGUCCGGUGUACACCGGACUGUCCGGUGUAACAACGGGGCAACGGCUACUUCGGCGCCAACGGCUACCUGCGGACGCAUUAAAUGCGCGCCAACGCGCGCAGAAGUCAGGCACGCCCAUGCUGGCGCACCGGACACGCUACAGUACAUGUCCGGUGCGCACCAGACAUCCAGGCGAACCCAGAAGUCAGAGCUCCAACGGUCAGAACCCAACGGCUUUGGUGAUGUGGCUGGCGCACCGGACAUGUCCGGUGUGCACCGGACUGUCCGGUGCACCAUGCGACAGACAGCCCCACCAAACGGCUAGUUUGGUGGUUGGGGCUAUAAAUACCCCCAACCACCCACCAUUCAUUGCAUCCAAGUUUUUCCACUUCUCAACCACUUACAAGAGCUAGGCAUUCAAUUCUAGACACACCCAAGUGAUCAAAUCCUCUCCAAUUCCACACAAGGCUUUAGUGAUUAGCGAGAGAGAUUUGCCGUGUUCUUUUGAGCUCUUGCGCUUGGAUUGCUUCUUUUCUUUCUCACUUGUUCUUGUGAUCAAAACUCCAUUGUAAUCAAGGCAAGAGGCACCAAUUGUGUGGUGGCCCUUGCGGGGAAGUUUUGUUCCCGGUUUUGAUUGAGAAGAAGAAGCUCACUCGGUUCGAGGGAUCGUUUGAGAGAGGGAAAGGGUUGAAAGAGACCCGGUCUUUGUGACCACCUCAACGGGGAGUAGGUUUGCGAGAACCGAACCUCGGUAAAACAAAUCCUUGUGUCACACUCCUUAUUUGCUUGAGAUUUGUUUUGCACCCUCUCUCGCGGACUUGUUUUAUUUCUAACGCUAACCCGGCUUGUAGUUGUGUUUAUAUUUGUAAAUUUCAGUUUCGCCCUAUUCACCCCCCUCUAGGCGACUAUCAAUUGGUAUCAAAGCCCGGUGCUUCAUUAGAGCCUAACCGCUCGAAGUGAUGUCGGGAGAUCACGCCAAGAAGGAGAUGGAGACCGACGAAAAAACCCACUACAAGCCACGGGAACACUUCAUCGGAAGAGUCCCGCACCAAGAAAAAGGAGAAGAAGAAGGACUCCUCCAAAGGGAAGGAGAAGAGAUCUUCUUCACACCACAAAGAGAAGAAGGAGAAAUGCUCUUCCCACAAGCCGCAUAGGAGUGGGGACAAGAAAAAGAGGAUGAGAAAGGUGGUCUACUACGAGACCGACUCUUCAUCGGCAUCCACCUCCGGCUCCGACACGGCGUCCGUCACUUCUAAGCGCCAAGAGCGUAAAAAGUAUAGUAAGAUUCCCCUACGCUACCCUCGCAUUUCUAAACAUACACCUUUACUUUCCGUCCCAUUAGGCAAACCACCAACUUUUGAUGGAGAAGAUUAUGCUAGGUGGAGUGAUUUAAUGCGAUUUCAUCUAACCUCGCUCCACAAAAGUAUAUGGGAUGUUGUUGAGUUUGGUGCACAGGUACCAUCCGUAGGGGAUGAAAACUAUGAUGAAGAUGAAGUAGCCCAAAUCGAGCACUUCAACUCCCAAGCCACAACCAUACUCCUCGCCUCUCUAAGUAGAGAGGAAUAUAACAAGGUGCAAGGGUUGAAGAAUGCGAAGGAGAUUUGGGAUCUACUCAAGACCGCGCACGAGGGUGAUGAACUCACCAAUAUCACCAAGCGGGAAACGAUCGAGGGGGAGCUCGGUCGCUUCCGUCUUCGCCAAGGGGAGGAGCCACAAGAUAUGUACAACCGGCUCAAAACCUUGGUGAACCAAGUGCGCAACCUCGGGAGCAAGAAAUGGGAUGACCACGAGGUGGUUAAGGUUAUUCUUAGAUCACUCAUCUUCCUUAAUCCCACUCAAGUUCAAUUAAUUCGUGGUAAUCCUAGAUACACACUAAUGACUCCCGAGGAAGUUAUCGGGAAUUUUGUGAGCUUUGAAUGUAUGAUCAAGGGCUCAAAGAAGAUCAACGAGCUUGAUGAUCCCUCCACAUCCGAAGCACAACCGGUGGCAUUCAAGGCGACGUAGGAGAAGAAGGAGGAGUCUACACCAAGUAGACAACCAAUCGACGCUUCAAAGCUCGACAACGAGGAGAUGGCUUUAAUCAUCAAAAGCUUUCGCCAAAUCAUCAAGCAACGGAAGGGGAAGGAUUACAAAUCCCGUUCCAAGAAGGUUUGCUACAAGUGUGGUAAGCCCGGUCACUUUAUUGCUAAAUGUCCAUUAUCAAGUGACAGUGACAUGGAUAACGACAAGAAGGGCAAGAGGAGAGAAAAGAAGAAGUACCACAAGAAGAGGGGCGGCGAUGCCCACGUGUGCCGCGAGUGGGACUCCGACGAGAGCUCCACCGACUCCUCCUCCGACGAGGACGCCGCCAACAUCGCCGUCACCAAGGGACUCCUCUUCCCAAACGUCGGCCACAAGUGCCUUAUGGCAAAAGACGGCAAAAGGAAGAAGGUUAAAUCUAAAUCCUCCACUAGAUAUGAGUCCUCUAGUGAUGAUAAUGCUAGUGAUGAGGAAGAUAAUUUGCGUACCCUUUUUGCCAACCUUAACAUGGAACAAAAGGAAAAACUAAAUGAGCUAAUUAGUGUCAUCCAUGAGAAGGAUGAUCUCUUGGACUCCCAAGAGGACUUCCUAAUCAAGGAAAAUAAAAAGCAUGUUAAGGUUAAGAAUGCUUAUGCUCUAGAGGUAGAAAAAUGUGAGAAAUUAACUAGUGAGCUAAGCACAUGCCAUGACACUAUUACCAACCUUAGAAAUGAAAAUGCCAAAUUAAUUGCUAAGGUUGAUUCUCAUAUUUGUAAUAUUUCAACUUUCAAUCCUAGAGAUGAUAAUGUUGAUUUACUUGCUAGGAUUGAUGAGUUGAAUGUUUCUCUUACUAGCCUUAGGAUUGAAAAUGAAAAAUUAAUUGCUAAGGCUAAAGAUUUUGAUGUUUGCAAUGUUACUAUUUCUAACCUUAGAAGUGAAAACGAUAUAUUACAUGCUAAGGUUGUAGAAUUAAAAUCUUGCAAACCCUCUACAUCUACCGUUGAGCACACUUCUAUUUGUACUAGAUGUAGAUAUAUUGAUGUUAAUGCUAUUCAUGAUCACAUGACUUUAAUUAAACAACAAAAUGAUCAUAUAGCAAAAUUAGAUGCUAAAAUUGCCGAGCAUAACUUAGAAAAUGAAAAAUUUAAAUUUGCUAGAAGUAUGCUCUAUAGUGGGAGACGCCCUGGCAUUAAGGAUGGCAUCGGCUUCCAAAGGGGAGACAAUGCCAAAAUUAGUGCCCCUCCUAAGAAAUUGUCAAACUUUGUUAAGGGCAAGGCUCCCAUGCCUCAGGAUAACGAGGGUUACAUUUUAUACCCUGCCGGUUAUCCCGAGAGCAAAAUUAGGAGAAUUCAUUCUAGGAAGUCUCACUCUGGCCCUAAUCAUGCAUUUAUGUAUAAGGAUGAGACAUCUAGCUCUAGGCAACCAACCCGUGCUAAGUUGCCUAAGAAGAAAACUCCUAGUGCAUCAAACGAACAUAGCUUUUCAUUUAAAACUUUUGAUGCAUCAUAUGUUUUGACUAACAAAUCCGGCAAGGUCGUUGCCAAGUAUGUUGGGGGCAAACACAAGAGCUCGAAAACUUGUGUUUGGGUUCCCAAAGUUCUUGUUUCUAAUGCCAAAGGACCCAAAAACGUUUGGGUACCUAAAGUCAAGAACUAAACUUGUUUUGUAGGUUUAUGCAUCCGGGGGCUCAAGUUGGAUCAUCGAUAGCGGGUGCACAAACCACAUGACAGGGGAGAAAAAGAUGUUCUCCUCCUAUGAGAAAAAUCAAGAUCCCCAACGAGCUAUCACAUUCGGGGAUGGAAACCAAGGUUUGGUCAAAGGAUUGGGUAAAAUUGCUAUAUCUCCUGACCAUUCUAUUUCCAAUGUUUUCCUCGUAGAUUCAUUAGAUUACAAUUUGCUUUCAGUAUCUCAAUUAUGCAAAAUGGGCUACAACUGUCUCUUUACUGAUGUAGGUGUCACUGUCUUUAGAAGAAGUGAUGAUUCAAUAGCAUUUAAGGGUGUGUUAGAGGGUCAGCUAUACUUAGUAGAUUUUGAUAGAGCUGAACUCGACACAUGCUUAAUUGCUAAGACUAACAUGGGUUGGCUCUGACACCGCCGACUAGCCCAUGUUGGGAUGAAGAAUCUUCAUAAGCUUCUAAAGGGAGAACACAUUUUAGGACUAACAAAUGUUCAUUUUGAGAAAGACAGGAUUUGUAGCGCAUGCCAAGCAGGAAAGCAAGUUGGUGCCCAUCAUCCACACAAGAACAUCAUGACGACCGACAGGCCGCUUGAGCUACUCCACAUGGAUCUAUUCGGCCCGAUUGCUUACAUAAGCAUCGGCGGGAGCAAGUAUUGUCUUGUAAUAGUGGAUGAUUAUUCUCGCUUCACUUGGGUAUUCUUUUUACAGGAAAAAUCUCAAACCCAAGAGACCUUAAAGGGAUUCUUGAGACGGGCUCAAAAUGAGUUUGGCUUAAGGAUCAAGAAAAUAAGAAGCGACAACGGGACGGAGUUCAAGAACUCUCAAAUAGAAGGCUUCCUUGAGGAGGAAGGCAUCAAGCAUGAGUUCUCUUCUCCCUACACGCCACAACAAAGUGGUGUAGUGGAGAGGAAGAAUAGAACUCUAUUGGACAUGGCAAGAACCAUGCUUGAUGAGUACAAGACUUCGGAUCGGUUUUGGGCCGAGGCGGUCAACACCGCCUGCUACGCCAUCAACCGGUUGUAUCUACACCGAAUCCUCAAGAAGACAUCCUAUGAACUCCUAACCGGUAAAAAGCCCAAUAUUUCAUAUUUUAGAGUCUUUGGUAGCAAAUGCUUUAUUCUUGUUAAAAGAGGUAGAAAAUCUAAAUUUGCCUCUAAGACAGUAGAAGGCUUUUUACUAGGAUAUGAUUCAAACACAAAGGCAUAUAGAGUCUUUAACAAGUCCACUGGACAAGUUGAAGUUUCUUGUGACGUUGUGUUUGAUGAGACUAACGGCUCUCAAGUAGAGCAAGUUGAUCUUGAUGAGAUAGGUAAUGAAGAGGCACCGUGCAUCGCACUAAGGAACAUGUCCAUAGGGGAUGUGUGUCCUAAGGAAUCCGAAGAGCCUCCAAAUGCACAAGAUCAACCAUCCUCCUCCACGCAAGCAUCCCCACCGACUAAAAAUGAGGAUGAAGCUCAAGUUGAUGAAGUAGAAGAUCAAGCAAAUGAGCCACCUCAAGAUGAUGGCAAUGAUCAAGGGGGAGAUGCAAAUGAUCAAAACAAGGAGGAUGAAGAACAAAGGCUGCCACACCCAAGAGUCCACCAAGCAAUCCAACGAGAUCACCCCGUCGACACCAUCCUAGGCGACAUUCAUAAGGGGGUAACUACUAGAUCUCUUGUUGCACAUUUUUGUGAGCAUUACUCUUUUGUUUCCUCUAUUGGGCCACACAGGGUAGAGGAAGCACUACAAGAUUCGGAUUGGGUGGUGGCGAUGCAAGAGGAGCUCAACAACUUCACCAGGAAUGAGGUAUGGCAUUUAGUUCCACGUCCUAACCAAAAUGUUGUAGGAACCAAAUGGGUUUUUCGCAACAAACAAGAUGAGCAUGGUGUGGUGACAAGGAACAAAGCUCGGCUUGUGGCCAAGGGAUACUCCCAAGUCGAAGGUUUGGAUUUCGGUGAAACCUAUGCACCCGUAGCUAGGCUUGAGUCAAUUCGCAUAUUAUUAGCCUAUGCUACUUACCAUGGCUUCAAGCUUUAUCAAAUGGACGUGAAGAGUGCCUUCCUCAAUGGACCAAUUAAGGAAGAGGUCUAUGUUGAGCAACCUCCCGGCUUUGAAGAUAGUGAGUACCCUAACCAUGUCUAUAGGCUCUCUAAGGCGCUUUAUGGGCUCAAGCAAGCCCCAAGAGCAUGGUAUGAAUGCCUAAGAGAUUUCCUUAUAGCUAAUGGCUUCAAAGUCGGCAAGGCCGAUCCUACUUUAUUCACUAAAACUCUUGACAAUGACUUGUUUGUAUGCCAAAUUUAUGUUGAUGAUAUUAUUUUUGGGUCUACUAACGAAUCUACAUGUGAAGAAUUUAGUAGGAUCAUGACACAAAAAUUCGAGAUGUCGAUGAUGGGGGAGUUGCAGUAUUUUCUAGGAUUCCAAGUCAAGCAACUCCAAGAAGGCACCUUCAUUAGUCAAACGAAGUAUACUCAAGACAUUCUAACCAAAUUUGGAAUGAAGGAUGCUAAGCCCAUCAAGACACCCAUGGGAACCAAUGGGCAUCUCGACCUCGACACGGGAGGUAAAUCCAUCGAUCAAAAGGUAUACCGGUCGAUGAUAGGUUCAUUACUCUAUUUAUGUGCAUCUCGACCGGACAUUAUGCUUUCUGUUUGCAUGUGUGCAAGAUUCCAAUCUGACCCUAAGGAAUCUCACCUUACGGCCGUAAAACGAAUCUUGAGAUAUUUGGCUUAUACUCCUAAGUUUGGGCUUUGGUACCCUCGGGGAUCCACAUUUGAUUUGAUUGGUCAUUCGGAUGCCGACUGGGCAGGGUGUAAGAUUAACAGAAAGAGCACAUCGGGGACUUGCCAGUUCUUGGGAAGAUCCUUGGUGUCUUGGGCUUCAAAGAAGCAAAAUUCCGUAGCUCUUUCUACCGCCGAAGCCGAGUACAUUGCCGCAGGCCAUUGUUGCGCGCAAUUGCUUUGGAUGAGGCAAACUCUGCGGGACUACGGUUACAAAUUAACCAAAGUCCCUUUGCUAUGUGAUAAUGAGAGUGCAAUCAAAAUGUCGGAUAAUCCCGUCGAGCAUAGCCACACUAAACACAUAGCCAUUCGGUAUCAUUUUCUUAGGGAUCACCAACAAAAGGGAGAUAUCGAGAUUUCUUACAUUAACACUAAAGAUCAAUUAGCCGAUAUCUUUACCAAGCCUCUUGAUGAACAAACUUUUAACAAACUUAGGCAUGAGCUCAAUAUUCUUGAUUCGCGCAACUUCUUUUGCUAAAUUGCACACAUAGCUCAUUUGUACACCUUUGAUCAUGUCUCUUUCAUAUGUUAUGACUAAUGUGUUUUUCAAGUCUAUUUCAAACCAAGUCAUAGGUAUAUUGAAAGGGAAUUGGAGUCUUCGGCGAAGACAAAGGCUUCCACUCCGUAACUCACCCUUCGCCGUCACUCCAAGCAACUCUCCAUUUUUGGGGGAGAAAGCAUGAGCACCAAGCAAAAGGACUCCGUCUUUGGUAUAAUCUUCACUCAUUUAUUUAUGACCAAAUGGGGAGAGAGUAAUUCUUAGGGCUCUAAUGAUUCCGUUUUUGGCGAUUCAUGCCAAAGGGGGAGAAAGUAUGAGCCCAAAGCAAAAGGACCGCACCACCACCUAAUUUUAAAAUUGGAGAUUUUCAAAUUGGUAUUGUGUUCAAAAAGGAAAGAAAGUAGUAUUUCAAAAAUGAUAUAUCAAAACCCUCUUGAACACUAAGAGGAGGAUCUCAUUUAGGGGGAGUUUUGUUUAGUCAAAGGAAAAGCAUUUGAAACAGGGGGAGAAAAUUUCAAAUCUUGAAAAUGCUUCGUAAAAAUCUUAUUCAUUUACCUUUGACUAUUUGCAAAAGAACUUUGAAAAGGAUUUACAAAAGAAUUUGCAAAAACAAAACAUGUGGUGCAAACGUGGUCCAAAAUGUUAAAAACAAAGAAACAAUCCAUGCAUAUCUUGUAAGUAUUUAUAUUGGCUCAAUUCCAAGCAACCUUUGCACUUACAUUAUGCAAACUAGUUUGAUUAUGCAUUUCUAUAUUUGCUUUGGUUUGUGUUGGCAUCAAUCACCAAAAAGGGGGAGAUUGAAAGGGAAUUAGGCUUACACCUAGUCCCUAAAUAAUUUUGGUGGUUGAAUUGCCCAACACAAAUAAUUGGACUAACUAGUUUGCUGUAGUGUAUAAGUUAUACAGGUGCCAAAGGUUCACAACAAGCCAAUUAAAAAGACCAAUGUUGGGUUCAAAAUAGAGAGCGAAAGGCAUCCCGAAAGGCUCCCUGGUCUGGCGCACCGGACUGUCCGGUGUGCCACCGGACAGUGUCCGGUGCACCAGGGGACUUCGCGCUGAACUACUCAGCCUCGGGAAUUUUCAGAGCGGGCACGCUAUAAUUCACCGGACUGUCCGGUGUACACCGGACAGUGUCCGGUGCUCCAAGAGGACGCGACUCUGGAACUUGGCAGCCUCGGGAAUUCACAACGGCUGCUCCGCUAUAAUUCACCGGACAUGUCCGGUGUACACCGGACUGUCCGGUGUAACAACGGGGCAACGACUACUUCGGCGCCAACGGCUACCUGCGGACGCAUUAAAUGCGCGCCAACGCACGCAGAAGUCAGGCACGCCCAUGCUGGCGCACCGGACACGCUACAGUACAUGUCUGGUGCGCACCGGACAUCCAGGUGGGCCCAGAAGUCAGAGCUCCAAUGGUCAGAACCCAACGGCUUUUGUGACGUGGCUGGCGCACCGGACAUGUCCGGUGUGCACCGGACUGUCCGGUGCACCAUGCGACAGACAACCCCACCAAACGGCUAGUUUGGUGGUUGGGGCUAUAAAUACCCCCAACCACCCACCAUUCAUUGCAUCCAAGUUUUUCCACUUCUCAACCACUUACAAGAGUUAGGCAUUCAAUUCUAGACACACCCAAGUGAUCAAAUCCUCUCCAAUUCCACACAAGGCUUUAGUGAUUAGCGAGAGAGAUUUGCCGUGUUCUUUUGAGCUCUUGCGCUUGGAUUGCUUCUUUUCUUUCUCACUUGUUCUUGUGAUCAAAACUCGAUUGUAAUCAAGGCAAGAUGCACCAAUUGUGUGGUGGCCCUUGAGGGGAAGUUUUGUUCCCGGUUUUGAUUGAGAAGAAGAAGCUCACUCGGUCCGAGGGAUCGUUUGAGAGAGGGAAAGGGUUGAAAGAGACCCGGUCUUUGUGACCACCUCAACGGGGAGUAGGUUUGCGAGAACCGAACCUCGGUAAAACAAAUCCUUGUGUCACACUCCUUAUUUGCUUGAGAUUUGUUUUGCACCCUCUCUCGCGGACUUGUUUUAUUUCUAACGCUAACCCGACUUGUAGUUGUGUUUAUAUUUGUAAAUUUCAGUUUCGCCCUAUUCACCCCCCUCUAGGCGACUAUCACCUGGAAAUUUCAUGGUAACAAGAUUCCUUCCUGGAUCACGCCUCCCCGGGGCGAUACUGUCUUACCUCAAUUUCAGGAAUCUAGGGGGUGUGUUGUGGAAAACCGUAAGGUGGUGCCCAAGAUUAAUGAAAAAGCUAAGGGGCUUUGGGGAAAAAACCUGAAUCAGGUAUAUUGUGGACUGAUAACGCCGAAUUGGCUCUUUUGUCCUUCCCUUCAAACCCUAAAUCACUUGCUUGCGGCUCUCCCCCUGUGCUCGCCCCAAAACCACAAAUCAAAAGGUUUGUUGGGCAUUUCUGGGGGAAAUCUCAGAGAUCUUAUGCUAGUGUGGUGAAAGCUAAGAGAGCUCCGAUCGUUGUUGUGAAGAUGCAACCAAGAGGAGCUGGUCGGCGUGGAGCUGCGCGCGGGUAUGGUCGGGGUUCUGGCCGCGAUCACGUCUGGAGGCGUAUCGAAGAUGGUGAUGUUCAAAAUCAAAGAGGUGGUCGCAAUAGUGAGGAGGCGAAUAUGAAAGAGGGGGAUGAUACCUUGAAUCAAGGUAACCCAUCUCCCUGGGAAAGUCAAGUUAACAGAUCUGAAGAAAAGAAUGAAGAUAGUUGGAAAAAAAAUCCCCAUCCUAUGGGAGAAUAUGGUCCUAAAGAUUUGCAUGUGAAAAAAGAGGUAACUCGCAGUUUUAAUCUGGAUAGAUCUGGAUGUGCUUUUUGUCACUUUAAAAAUCAUCUUACUAAGGAUUGUCGACAUCGCUUUCCUUGUGACAUUUGUGGUUGUGAUGAUCAUGUUGUGUUUGAUUGCAAAAAAUGCUUGCCUUGGAAUUUUGGUCCGGAACUUUGUGCGACACAAGUUGAGGAUCAGAGUUUUUUCUAUAUUGAAGAAAAAGUGGAUAAUCGGAUGAUUAAAGAAAAAUCCAGCACUGCUAUUAUCACUGUUGUUCAAGGGAAUGUUAGUGAAAAACAGAUUGAAUUAGAAUUCAUGAACAUGUUAGGCAAGAAUUUAUGGCGGUGGUCUGCUAGAUCUGUGGGAGACAAUAAGUUUGUUAUGAGAUUUCCAGAUCCUAAAAUGAUAGGGGAUCUUGGAUACUUUAGACCUUUAGGCAUGAGAAGAGCGAAAGCCCAGAUUACAACUGAUCCUUGGACACCUGCUGUUAAUGCUAAAGGUUGCUUGCAAAAAGGGUGGUUUAGAAUUAGUGGCAUUCCUAUGGAACAAAGGUCUCUGGUGACAAUUGCUAAAGUUGGUGGGCUCGUGGGUAAGGUGAUUGAAAUUGAUGAAAGGACUAGACUCAGAAAUGAAUAUGUGAGAGCUAGAAUUGCUUGCAGGGAUGCCACAACUGUUCCCGGUGUUGUGGAAGGCUCCCUUGGAUUGUUUUUGUAUGAUUUUUUCUUUGAAAGGGAGAUACACUCGGAAGAGGAUGAACAAUUUCUUGAGACUGGGAUUAGAAUUGAUGAUUCUAAUCAGAAAGCUGCUAAAAGAUACAAAUAUGAAGGUAAAAUGCAGAAAGAUAAGAAAGUGGAUUAUGGGAACUUGGAGGAUGGAAAUACUAAACAGCAUGAUGAGUGUAACAGAAAAUCUCAAAGUUACACUUAUCAAAUGCAAGGGCUUGACAAGAAUGUGAGCAAAGGAAAAAAUGUAGGAGCUGAAGAAGGUAAAACUGGCAAAUCUUAUUCCAGUUGUUCUGGUGAAGAAAAGAACAAAGUGCAUAUAACUGAUAGCGAGGAAGAUGAUGAUAGUGAUCUUCUUGGAGAGGAGCUUAUGGCAAUGAAAAAUCGUGGAUCUGGAUCAAAUAGCCAUACUAUGUGGAAUAUACAGGCUGACUCAGUUGACAACUUGAAUUCUAGGAGUGUAAGCCAGACUAAAACCUCUAAAUGCUCUGUCAUUAUUGAAGAACUUGAUACCAAUGAGAAAGGAGUUGAUAAUUCUGAAGAAUUGUUUUCCGGUACUCAAGGUAGCUCGCUUGUGAAUGUUUCGCAAGAGGAAGGUGAAGAUCUUUCGGAUCAAAGAAAGAAAAUUGAUGGCGUUAUUUUUCAUGAAGAUAAUCAGAAAUUUAUGCCUUCACCCAUCCCGGUGAGAAGGGUCAGUGAACGUCUUAAAAAAGAUAUGGGUAUCAGAAUUGAAGAGAAGAACAGAAGAAUGGCUGUGAAAAGGAAUCUGGAAGGUAAUUCUUGUAUUCCCGAACCUAAUUUUUCCUGUUUAGCUUCUAAGGAAAUUAUUGAUAUUAGCAAGAAAAUGGGAGUUAAUAUAAAUGAGCAAAAUAUGAAAUCUAUUGAGUUACUCAAAGAAAUGGAAUUAGCUAGACAAUGUUUGGGUCAGAAAAAAACUAAGAUUUUACAGAAAAAAGAGGUGGAUAAUAUGGUUAAGCGAAAUGAUGAGAAUUUCGGGAGUCAAGUCAAUGAAGAAUCUGAAACAGAUGACUUCAUUUUGGUACAAUCCAGGAAAAAAAAGAGAAUACAGAAAAGGAAUUAAGAAAGGUUGCAAAGGCAAGGCACAAGAAAAUCUUGGCCUCAACAAAAAAAUCAGAAACACUGGGAAAAUCCCAAAAAGUGUUGAUGAUAUUAAUACAAAUAAAAACGGUUCAAAAUGAAAGGUCUCCUUUGGAAUUGUAGAGGCAUCAGGAAGAAAGGAGUUGCCCCUCGCCCCCUCUUAUGAGACACAUGAUUAGUCAAUAUAAAUUUCAGUUUAUCGGCCUACAAGAAACUAUGAUUGGGGACUGUGAUGAAUUCAUCACAAGAAAAUUGGAUCCCUCUGGUGAUUACUUAUGGCUUUGGUCCCCUGCUAAAGGGAAAUCUGGAGGCAUUCUUGUGGGUUCUAGAAUUGAUGAUCUUGAUGUGGGAUCUUUUAAGAAAGGUAAUCACAUUCUCCAGGUGAAUUACUGGGAUAAAGCUCUGUUGUGUAAAUGGAAUCUUAUGGUGAUUUAUGGUCCUCCUCAGGAGAAAUAUAAGAAUAUUUUUUUGAAAGAGCUUGAUGAGUUCUGUGAUAAUAGUAGAGAACCUUACAUCGUGGGAGGAGAUUUCAAUAUUAUUCGUUUCUCCUAUGAGAAGAAUAAAGAUCAUAUUUUACACAAGCAUUCUGCUCCUUUUAAUGAUUUGAUUUAUAAGCACAAUUUGGUGGAAAUUCAUAUGAUUUCUGGUGGAUUUACUUGGUCUAAUAAUCAUGCAACGCCCACUUUGGUUAAAUUGGAUAGGGUCCUGAUGAGUGGGAGUUGGGAAAACAUAUUUCCUCUUGUUAAGGUUAAGAAGCUUCCCAGAAAUAUUUCUGAUCAUAAUCCUCUUGUUGUUGAUUCUGGAAAUUUGAGCGCAAAAAUGCAUUCCUCUUUUGUUUUUGAGAUUGGAUGGUUAAAACAUCCAGAUUUUAAACAGAUUAUUGAGAGGAUUUGGAGUAAACCUUGCAGAGCUAAAAGUACUUUGGAUAAGAUUCAACAAAAAUUGAAGUUGUGUAAACAAUACCUCAAAGGUUGGGAUUGGAAUCUCAAAGGUAUAAAAAAAGAGAAGGGAUCAGAUUGCUUCUGAGUUGAAAAAAUUGGAAGAAAUUGAAGAAUCUGAUCUUUUGAACAGUAAUCAGAUUGAUUAUAGAUGUUCUCUUAUGACUGAAAUUUUGAUGAUGCUUGAUGAGGAAGAGCUAUUCUGGAAGCAGAGGGCUCAUGAAAAUUGGCUCCUUCAUGGUGAUGGGAAUAAUGAGUAUUUCCACCGUAUUGCGAAUGGUCGUAGAAGGAAAAACAACAUAAGUUUUCUUGAAGAUGGAGAUAGGAAAAUAUUUGGGGAUGAGAAUAUUUUGCUUCACGCGACAGAAUACUAUUCUGGCUUGUUUGGUCCUGCUCCUGGAAAUAUGUUCCAAAUUGAUAGGGAGGUUUGGGAUGGUCUUGAGCAGCUGAAUGAGUUAGACAAUAAUGUGCUUUGUGAUCAUUUCUCUGAGAAAGAGAUUAAAGAGGCCCUCUUUCAGAUGGAGAAAAAUAAAGCUGCUGGUCCUGACAGCAUUCCUGCUGAAUUUUAUCAGAUUUGUUGGGACAUUGUUAAAAAUGAUAUUGUUAGUCUUUUUCAGGACUUUCAUGCUGAGCAGUUAGAUGUUAGUAGACUUAAUUAUGGCAUCAUUACUCUGCUUCCUAAGAUCAAAGAAGCUACCAAAAUUCAACAGUACAGACCUAUUUGUCUUCUUAACUGCUUAUAUAAGUUGAUUACCAAGGUCUUGACCAUAAGAAUUGAACCUUAUGCUCAGAAGUUGAUUAGUGAGCAUCAGACUGCUUUUAUCAAAGGGAGAAAUAUAAUGACUGGUGUUAUGAUUCUUCAUGAAAUUAUGCAUGAGACUAAAAAAAGGAAAGAGACUGGUAUUAUUUUGAAAUUGGAUUUUGAGAAGGCUUAUGAUAAAGUCAAUUGGGAUUUUUUAUUCUUUAGCCUUCAACAUCGGGGUUUUGGCAAUAAAUGGAUGAUGUGGAUGCAUAUGGUUGUCGAGGGUGGCACUGUUAGUGUGAAAAUAAAUAAUCAGAUUGGUAAAUAUAUUAAGAGUUACAAAGGAGUGCGUCAAGGAGAUCCUCUCUCGCCUAUUCUCUUUAAUUUUGUGGCGGAUAGCCUCGCUAGAAUGAUGGACAAAGCCUGUGCUAAUGGGGUCUUGAAUGGUUUGGGUAGGCAUUUGAUCCCAAAUGGUGUGAUUUUGUUACAAUAUGCUGAUGAUACUAUCAUUUGUAUGAAGAAUGAUUUGUCCAAGGCUAGAAAUUUGAAAAUGCUCUUGUACAUUUAUGAAAUGAUGGCAGGAUUAAAAAUCAAUUUUAUGAAAAGUGAAAUUUUUGUGAUCAAUGGGGAUGAUGAUACUAAGAUGCAAUAUGUGAAUCUCUUUGAUUGCCAAUUGGGCUCUUUCCCCAUGAUGUAUCUUGGGGUCCCUGUUAGUCCUUCCCGUCUGAGAAUUGCAGAUUGGAUAAAGUUGGAAGAAAAGUUUGACAAAAGGUUGGAUAGCUGGAAGGGAAGUUCUCUUUCCAUUGCUGGGAGGAUUACUUUGAUUAAUGCUUGUUUAUCCAAUUCACCCAUCUAUCAUAUGUCGAUGUAUCUCCUUCCUAGCACUACUAUCAAAAAGCUUGAUAUUAAACGGAAAAAAUUUCUGUGGCAAGGUGGAGGAGAUAGAAAGAAAUACCACCUGGUUAAAUGGGAUAGAGUUUGUGCUAACAGGAAAAAUGGUGGACUCGGCAUUAAGGAUUUGAGAGUCAUGAAUAUUUGCCUUAUGUGCAAGUGGUGGUGGAAACUUGAAUAUGAAAAUGGAAUCUGACAAGAAAUUGUGAAAAAGAAGUAUAUUCAUGGUGACAGUAUCAUGAAUGUUAGUCACAAAUUGUUUGAUUCUCAAGUCUGGCACAAUCUGUUGAAUAUAAGAGAUUACUAUGUAAUUGGAAGGAAAAUUAUCACUCGAUCUGGUGAUAAAACUAGAUUCUGGGAGGAUCCUUGGCUCAAUGAGAUUCCUCUAGCUAUGUCUGAACCAGAUUUAUAUGAGAUGUGCAAUGAUAAAUUUAUUCUGGUCCAGCAUGUUAGGGAAAGGAAUGCACAUCUUGAUUUUCGUAGAUGGUUGAAUAAUGAUAUCAGAGGUAAUUGGGACAAAAUCAUGGAAAAAUUCCAGGAUUUUGAGUUUCAAGAAACAGAAGACUAUGUUUCCUGGAAAUGGGGUAAAAGUAAAGAAUUUUCUGUGAAAUCUUUAUAUGAUAAUAUUACUUGUAGUACUUAUGGUCCAUAUCUGAAACAUAUCUGGAAAGGAAAAACACCUCCAAAAAUUAAGGUUUUCAUGUGGUUACUUGAAAAUAAUGUGCUGCUGACCAAAGAGAACAUGAUUAGGAGAAAUUGGAAUGGAAAUUCUUCCUGUGGUUUCUGUGAUGAGUUUGAAUCGACCACUCACCUUUUUUUUAAUUGUCAUACAACCAAAUGUGUGUGGGGAAUGAUUGCUAAAUGCUUUAAUUCUAAUGUUGUUCCUGGAAACUUGCAUCAAUGCUGGUUUUGGUUUGAUAGUAAUUUGGGUGAUGCCAAAGAAAUUAGCACUGUUUGUGCUGCUGCCAUUUGUUGGGCAAUUUGGAAAGCCAGGAAUAAUGUGUGCUUUCAAAACAUUGUGGUCAGCUCUCCUGUUGAAAUUGUGUGUCAUGCUUGUGCAUUGAUUUUUAACUGGGCAGGUUUGAGCAAGAAAGAGCUGCAAGAUUUACUUCAGGACGGGGCCAAGCUUCUGCUGAAAGCUGCAAAUGCGAGGAAUCCUGGGAGAGAAAUUCAAGGGCAAGCUGAUGAUGACGUCCAGAAGAUGGAUUUGGAGUAACCGUCGGUAUCUGGAUGCUGGAUGGCUGAUUUGUGGCUUGGGUCCCCUUUUUUAUUGUCAGUCCUGUCUAGACUACCUUAUGGUUUGUGCGCUGUGUCGCAGCCUGAUGAUGUUCUCUGGCUCCUUUUGGUUAAUGUCUUUUCUGCUUGAUGUCGUGAAUUUAGACGUUGCCGGGUAGAUUUCCUUGACCUGAAUCAGGUCGGUUAUGUUUUUCUCGAUGUGUAUGGGUGCUUGGUUGUUGUGGCAGCCGGUCCGUACUUUGUAUUUCUGUUAUGCAAGUAAUAGAAAUGGAGUUUCUCCGGUUAAAAAAAAAUAUCUACAUUAAUUUAUCUGUAGGAAUGGGAGAAAGUGAUGGAACGUCAAGGUUUUCGCCAGUUCGCUGAUAAGGUAAUCUUCAGCCAUCUCACUUCGCCUCAGCCUUUGAUCAUAGUGUUUCCGUUGAAAUUCUACACAUCGUAUAUCUAUCUUUUAACCAUUUAACUCAUGUAUUGCAGAUUCUUGACAUUAUCAGCUCAAAAGAAUAAUCGCCUGCCCUGUUUGGUGGGAUCCUGAUGCUGGAGUAAAUAGAAGCAUCCAGGAAAACAAGCGAAAGUGGAGUAUGGAAGAGCACAUCUCUGUUUUCCUUUUUCCCGUGAUGGGGUAGAGUGGUAGACUUCAGAACACAUCUUGAGUCGCCUGUUUUUUCCAUGACGGGGUAGACUUUAGAACACAUGUUGUGUGGUGUCGCCUGGUGAA
rnacentral:lncRNA from 1 species